UGCCCUUUUGAGUUGACAGGGGCAUGGAGCAUCCUUUGUUGUCUACUCCAGGACAAACAUUCUGUCCUCUGCAGCCAACUUAACCUGUCAAGAGAGGCACAGCUGCUCCCUUCCAAGAGAAAAUGAUCUGGAUCUACCAAAAGAAAGUGGAUUGUUACUUGGACAAAUUAGAAUGUAUUCAUACCCUCUUGGAAUUUAAAAGGAUUUUGAGAUUUGACUGAUCCACAGAAGCCAAAGUCUGGGAACAAGAGAGUUCUCAAGAACACAGUGUGCAACCGUUGAUAGCUAUUGGGAGAACAAAGGACUGCGAAGCAACAGGCCAGAGUUCAAGUCCAGAUUCUGCCACUAACUGAAUAUAUAAUCAUCUGCUAAUUGCUUCACGUAACAAUGGGGCACCCGUGUUUGUAUUUGACGAACGGGGAUGCUGGAGAGGGUGUGUUUUCCAGAUCUGUUAGUUACAGAGGUGCUGAGUUGGUGCAGAGUAACAUCUAGAGCCACAGGAAAGGGAGCAGAAGACAAAUAUGAGUAAAACUUUCGUUGAAUUGCACCAUCCCUUUGGUCAAAACUCUCCAGAGGUGAAGACUUAACCUCACUCCGAAUAAAAGACCUUCCAGUUAUUCCAGAUAUAAAUCAGGUAACUGAACCUGGAGUGCCUUUGAGAUUCUCAUCUGAUGACCUUACUACGGAGCAUAAAGCUUCCCGGAUGACUGCAGCCACAUGAUCUCUCUGAGAUUUAACUCACUUUGUAUUUAUUGGCAGCACUGCACACCUGCCAGGCUAUGCUUUCUUGCCUCCUGCUUUGAAAUAUCAAAACAAAGAAAACAAAUUCUGAUUAUGACUGACUAGUUUGUAACUAAGUCGAUGACUUUGGAGUUUUGCUAAAGAUAUGGGCUCACUGCAGUCCUGAAGAUAACCCUGCAGGCUAGUUACAAAAUUGUUAUGCAACUUCAAAAAUAGAAACAAGAAGAGUUCUUUGCAUAAUAUAUUCUAGUAUCGAAGGGAACUAGUUUUGAUUUUGUUUUUUAAAGGCUUAAACUUUUCCCCUUUCCCACCAUGAAUAAAGACAGUUCUCUAAGGGCAAAACAAAACCUUUGAGCUGUAGAUCCCAAACCUUGUCCAAAGCUGCCCUACAGAUACUGCAGUGGGAUUUUUUUAAAAUUUUCAAGGUAAACAUGGUAAUAGUUGACAUUUAUUUGGACCCUAUGUGAACUUCCAGCUAGAUAUAGUUUAUAGUUUCAACACUAAAUCAUGUUGCCCUCCUUUCAGUGACAUGUAUCAUAUAUCUUUUGUCUUGGUAGUUGUGACAAAAAGCAAAUGUGGUGUGAAAGCUGACAUGGAACAGGAAAUGAAGAUUGCCAUAUGCAAUCUAAUUCCAAGGUUUGGGAAUUUGUGCAGUGUGCAACACGUGCACACAUCCUGUGAGUCGGUAUUGAAAUUAAAUAAUGAAAUAAGCGUAUUUUUAUCAUUCAUUUUAUGUGUAUUUUUUCAGACAACUAGUAAGUUAAGACAUAAACACUAAGUUGUUUGGAUCUAUCUUCUUAACAUACAACCGUUAGGCAUUUUAUUUUGCCUUCAGGCCGUGGAAAAUUACUGCGAUAUUAAGGGCACAGAAAACCAAGAAAAUUGGGAGACUCUGGCCUACUGCAAUAACAUAAUGUUUGACUUUCCAAUGUAGCUAAGUACUCCACAGUUAAUUCAUAUUUAUGUUAAAAUUCCUUUUUUCUUUUAUGAAGGUUUCAAGAGAUUAGUUUUUACCUAAUCUAUAAAUAUAGUAAAAUCAUUUAAAUGUGAUUCUCCUCGUAGAUGACCUGUGGAGGGGGUUCUGAUAUAUGAGUGUCACUCUGGGAUUAAGACAGUCACACCAUCACUGCUGACUCAAUCUCCCUAUCUGAGGAAUAAGCAUGGAUUGUACGACAUCCUUAGUCCUGUCUAACCUAGCAUUAUGCAAUGCUAUAAACUUAAAGAUUCUUAAAAUAUAAUGGUAAGGACAUCCAGGAGAGAGAAUGAAGAGAGCCCCCCACCCACAGUGUAGGUGGCAGAGAAUAUGUCUUCUGUCUAGAAACAGUGACAUACAGUUCCCAUAUGUGCGUGAAGCUUGCACUGACGCAGGUAUGUACAAAAUAGAGGACUGGUCGUGGGAGGCCCUGGAUCAGCAGGUGUUGACACGUAGGUACCCAGGUCACACAGAUGCUGUGGAGCAAGGAUUCUAUUUUACAACUUUGCUUGGGUCUUAGAGUCGGAGGAAGGGUACAGAGGAAGUCAGUCCCCACACGUUUGAGAGCCAUAUACUCAGAACCCAGUGCCAUUCUACCAAAUGUCCUGAAAUUCACAUCAUGUGUAUGAAGAAAAAGUUCCGUAUCAUUUGCCUUUGAUGCUGAAAUGCAGAGCCCCAUGAUACGUCCUUCAGGGCGACGGAAAACAGAGCUGGCUCUCCAGAUAUUUAUGGAGACAUAAGAGUCUGUGACUUGCCUUUUCUAACAUUGCAGUUGCUGCCUUUAUGCAUGAAUAUAAACUAUUGAUUACAGUUUUGAAAAUACUUUUUAUCAUCCUUUCAAUGCUAUUUAAGGCACUGAAUGCUUUCUCGGUAAUUUUUAAAUUUUUUUAAGCUCUGCCAAUGUGUGGGGCCUGCAUUUCUUUUCAGGGCCUGUGCCUGUCACCUACCUUCGCUAGUCUAUGCUUUGAAUAGUUCUCUCGUGCCUUCUGUGUAUUGUAUUCAUAUCUGUCACUUUCUUGCCUCUUUUAUCCUUUUUAUCUCCAUCUUUUCGGUUCCUCUGUGGGCUGAACUUUAAAUUAUUUUUCCUCUUUUAUUUUCAGCACUCUGCCGUGUCUCUCUGGUGUUUUCCUCUCACGGUACUGUAACGUAUUUAUUGUUCCUUGAAGAAUCCUUGUUGCCCUGUUCAUUUAUUUUCCAGUAAUCUUUAUUAGAUCUUUUACUUUGUAAUUUUUUUCAAUUCUUUUAAAUCACUUUUUAUGCAAAUUCUUUUUUUUAUUUAACGCUCUUAGUUUGCCAGUCUCUGAUCUUCCUAUUACAGUUUCCUCUCUUCAUCUUUACUUUUUUUCCCCCUUGAUGUCUGUGAAAUGUGAUCUCCCCACUUUCUUUUUACUGUUUCCAUGAUUCUACCCCUCUGUCCCAUUCCCCCAUUCUCAGCCUUACAGCUUUGAAUAAUUUAUUCUCUUAGCUAAUACCUAUCUCUUCCACCUUUUGGGGGGGGGGGGGAAUCGAUCCCUCCAAAAGAACUGGUUCCCCAGAAUGGCUGUUUUAGUUAUUUAAAGGAGGAGAAAAUAUAUCUCUCAGCACCUAAAG